CAUAGCGUAUAUUAAAGUUGUUGCAGUUAAAAAGCUCGUAGUUGAAUUUCGGGUUUCCGGCGCUCCCGCUUCAUUGCGGGGACACGGGGACCCUCCUCGCCUUAGGGCGUCAUUUACUGUGGAAAAAUUAGAGUGUUCAAAGCAGGCAAUCGCUUGAAUACAUUAGCAUGGAAUAAUAAGAUAGGAUUACGUCUAUUUUGUUGGUUGCGGACGAUAAUAAUGAUUAAUAGGGAUAGUUGGGGGUGUCCGUAUUGAGCUGUCAGAGGUGAAAUUCUUGGAUUUGCUCAAGACGAACUACUGCGAAAGCAUUCACCAAGGAUGUUUUCAUUAAUCAAGAACGAAAGUCAGGGGAUCGAAGAGGAUUAGAUACCCUCGUAGUCUUGACCAUAAACUAUGCCGACUCGGGAUUGGCAGACGUUGUAUCGACUCUGUCAGCACCGUAUGAUAAAUCAAAGUCUUUGGGUUCCGGGGGGAGUAUGGUCGCAAGGCUGAAACUUAAAGGAAUUGACGGAAGGGCACCACCAGGAGUGGAGCCUGCGGCUUAAUUUGAC
rnacentral:rRNA from 1 species